AGAGAUGUGUGAUGACGCAUAUCAAUAAGCGGAGGAAAAGAAACUAACAAGGAUUCCCUUAGUAACGGCGAGUGAAGCGGGAAGAGCUCAAAUUUGAAAUCUUCAAGGUUCUACCUUGACGAAUUGUAGUUUAUAGAAGUGUUUUCUGUUAGUAGAGUGGCAAAAGUUCUUUGGAAUAGGACAUCAUAGAGGGCGAGAAUCCCGUAUUUGGUCAUUCCUUCCUAGCGUUGUGAUACACUUUCAACGAGUCGGAUUGUUUGGGAAUGCAGUCCAAAAUGGGUGGUAAAUUUCAUCUAAAGCUAAAUAUUGGCGAGAGACCGAUAGCGAACAAGUACCGUGAGGGAAAGAUGAAAAGAACUUUGAAAAGAGAGUUAAACAGUACGUGAAAUUGUCAAAAGGGAAGCGUUUGACACCAGUGUUGUUUUUCCGAAAAUCAAUUACGAAUGUUUUAUUUUUGAGGAGUUAUGACUUCAUCGGCUUGCUUCUCUCUUUACGAAACUUUCUUAAUGCACUUUUCGGUUAACAAGUCAACAUCAACUUCUUUUGUUGUAAAAGAGUAUGAGGAAGGUGGCUUUCUUUUCGGAGAAAGUGUUUAUAGCCUUGUACCUCUGCAAUCGGAGAGAUUGAGGUCUGCAGCGUAGAUCCUUCGGGGUUAGAUACAUUUGUGCUAAGUUAUAGCUUUUCAUAGACAACUUGUUGACUAUGUUAAGUCUUGUAGCUUACUCGCUUAUGCUAUUUUACCUACGCUUAGGAUGUUGAAGAUGUAGCACAUCAU
rnacentral:rRNA from 1 species